CAUAGCGAGGAAAGAAACCAACAGGGAUGGCCCCAGUACCGGCGAGUGAAGCGGCAACAGCUCAAAUUUGAAAUCUGGUCCUCACGGGCCCGAGUUGUAAUUUGUAGAGGAUGCUUUUGGUGAGGCACCGCCCGAGUUCCCUGGAACGGGACGCCGCAGAGGGUGAGAGCCCCGUCUGGCUGGCUGCCGAGCCUUUGUAAAGCUCCUUCGACGAGUCGAGUAGUUUGGGAAUGCUGCUCAAAAUGGGAGGUAUAUGUCUUCUAAAGCUAAAUACCGGCCAGAGACCGAUAGCGCACAAGUAGAGUGAUCGAAAGAUGAAAAGCACUUUGAAAAGAGGGUUAAAUAGUACGUGAAAUUGUUGAAAGGGAAGCGCUCAUGACCAGACUUGGGCUUGGCGAAUCAUCCAGCGUUCUCGCUGGUGCACUUCGCCUCGUCCAGGCCAGCAUCAGUUCGCUUCGGGGGAUAAAGGCUUUGGGAACGUGGCUCCUCCGGGAGUGUUAUAGCCCAUUGUGUAAUACCCUGAGGUGGACUGAGGUUCGCGCAUCUGCAAGGAUGCUGGCGUAAUGGUCAUCAGCGACCCGUCUUGAAACACGGACCAAGGAGUCGUCUUCGUAUGCGAGUGUUCGGGUGUAAAACCCCUACGCGUAAUGAAAGUGAACGCAGGUGAGAGCUUCGGCGCAUCAUCGACCGAUCCUGAUGUUCUCGGAUGGAUUUGAGUAAGAGCAUACGGGGCCGGACCCGAAAGAAGGUGAACUAUGCCUGUAUAGGGUGAAGCCAGAGGAAACUCUGGUGGAGGCUCGCAGCGGUUCUGACGUGCAAAUCGAUCGUCAAAUAUGGGCAUGGGGGCGAAAGACUAAUCGAACCUUCUAGUAGCUGGUUCGC
rnacentral:rRNA from 1 species